CCUACGGGAGGCAGCAGUAGGGAAUAUUGCUCAAUGGGGGAAACCCUGAAGCAGCAACGCCGCGUGGAGGAUGACGGUUUUCGGAUUGUUAACUCCUUUUGUUAGAGGAGAUAAUGACGGUAUCUAACGAAUAAGCACCGGCUAACUCCGUGCCAGCAGCCGUGGUAAUACGGAGGGUGCAAGCGUUACUCGGAGUCACUGGGCGUAAAGCGCGCGUAGGCGGGUUAGCAAGUCAGAUGUGAAAUCCUGUGGCUUAACCAUAGAACUGCAUUUGAAACUGUUAGUCUAGAGUAGGGGAGAGGUAGGUGGAAUUCUUGGUGUAGGGGUAAAAUCCGUAGAGAUCAAGAAGAAUACUCAUUGCGAAGGCAGCCUGCUAGAACAUAACUGACGCUGAUGCGCGAAAGCGUGGGGAGCAAACAGGAUUAGAUACCCGAGUAGUC
rnacentral:rRNA from 1 species